CUACCUUGCUUUGAACACUCUCCCUGGAGCCGGCUCUGGAGCUAUUCACCACCUGGAGGGACACAUGGCAAUUUAAGAAGCUCAGAGAGUCAAAGAGAUGGGGAUGAUUUUGCCCCUGAGAGUAGCUCUCUUGCUUUGCACUGUUGGGAAAAUAAUUUAAUUAAGAAUUGGGCAAAAUCCCAAUGUUUUUCAGAUGAAGACAGGCAAGCCAAAUAGCUAGGUCAAGGGCAAGUUGGGAAACCAGGGUUCUCUCUAAUCUCUAGGGUUUUCUUGACCAAAAAAACCCUUAAAUCGGGUUGCAGUUAUUCAACAGCCGUGACACUGAGUCAGGAAGAAACCUUUGGACUUGGAUUCCAGCUCUGCCACCUUUUAGUCCUGUGGCCCCAGGGAAGUCACAAUCUUUGAACUGUGGUUUCUUCAGCUUCAUGGUUUGAAAAAAAUGUGGGAAUGGAGGGUCAGAGCCAAGCUCACAGACAUAGAAGCUGAAGACAAAUUUCUUAGCCUCUCAAGCCAGCCAUGACUGGCUUAUCUGUGGUUACCAUAGUCUCUUCAAAUCACCUAUGAAUUAUUUUCUCCACGGCCAUAAGUGAAGGCAGCAGGGAAGGGCCUGCAAUCUACACCUGUCUGUAUCUGUUAGGGUAUCAUCUACUCUGCUUCCAUCAGGCAGUUCAGCUUUCUGAGGGUGAUGAGAUGUGCACUGGGAGGUGAGGGGCAGACCCUACACCGGGGGCCAGGCUGACCCACCCUCAGAAUCGCUCUUUCUGAGGCUGCUUCCUGAGUUGUACAGUGGGCUUAUUGCUUUCUUCCAUUGCUGUUGCCUACUAAACUUAACUAAAGGCUCUGUCCUGCUGCUUGACAAAUGAUCAUAAAGAUCAUAAACCAAUGUUACUGCACAAAAUAAGCUUUGGAAGUAAAACUAUUCUACAUAAAUGAUAAUAAAAAACCAUGACCUUUACCUGGGUAGGAAAGAAAAAAUACAGUGAGCUCAGCUGUGACCUAGUUUCUUAUUACACAAGAAAGAUAAUUCUCUUGGGAAGAUAAUCAGGCAACACAGUUGGCUCUGAAUUAAUACGGAUCAGGCCAAAUGGUUAGAUCAGGGUUCUCAGCCCAGGCCACAUAUUAGGAUCACCUGAUGUACUUUAAAAAAAACCUCAGUGCCCGGACUGCACGCUAAACCAAUUAAAUCAUAAUGUCUGGGGGAAGAAUCAGGCACGAGUAGUGUUUAAAGCACUCCAGGUGAUUCCAAGAAGUAGUGGCUGAGAACAACUGCCUCGGGGGAAGCCAGCUGCCUACUAAUGGUGAUUUUUAGCUGGUGGGCCAUGGCCUACUGGUGUGCUGUGAGAGGAUCUUAGGUGUGCUGCGAAUAUUUUUAAAGAUCAUUAAUUAAAUUGUUUUUGAAAGAAGUUCAAAGCACAGAAAGAAAAAUGACAGAAGAGACAAGGACCCUCUAGGGAGCCCUGGAAUUCAUCAGCCUUCCUGGAAGCCCCUCUCCUCGCCUGAUCCUGGCUCCUGGGAGAACCAGGAUGCUCUCGCUGAGCAUCAUCAGUGCCUGUGGAAAUGCUGUGCAGUCACUGCCCUGCAGACGUGUCAGAUCAUCACAAAGGAAGGAAAUCGUGUGUUUGGAGCCAGAUGUCAAGGUGAGGUUGACGCUGCAGGUUCGAGACUCAAGACACACGAAGCAGCCGGGGACAAACUUGCGGCUCAGUUUGACGGGCCGUGGCUCGAUGGCACUAUCGUUGGCUUCUCACUAAGGAAGACGUGGACCUUCAUCUCCUUCACACCACACCCACCCACCCCGCACAGCACGCAUGCCCUGAAGCAGCCCACUCACUUCUGCUCACACUGCAUUGGCCAAAGCAAAUUCACACGGUCAAUGCUGCAGCCAGUGGGGUAGCAAGUCUAAUCCUUGCUCAGGAGGAGUGCAGCUCUUUUUAAUGCCAGCUCAUAAAAUUCCUGAGGACUGAAUAGCCAGCUCUUAAGAGCCAUGGACUGAGCUCUGUGCAUGACUGAUACAGAAAACGUGAGAGACUCAGAAAUGGAGCCGUCAAGAUUAAGUUCCUGGAGUCCAGUUGAAGGGUCUCUGACUGGGCCUUCCUGGAAGCCAGAUGGAAGCUGUUGGUGACAGUCUUGGACAUCCUACUUCCCCUAUUCUGAGAGUCAUGGUUUCACAAUGCCAAGAUCCACCUUUUAAAACUGGUUUUCCCAUCAACAUGCUCAUCAGCAGAGUGAGCACGCACUGAUUGUGCAGCACCUUCCUGGACGGCUGGAAGCCAGCAGCACUGUUCUCCUGCCCUGUGGCUUCAAUGCUGGUAUUUUAUUCCCUCUGUAGUUGAAUUUUCUUUUUUAAGGCUAACCGACUGAUGACAUCCUUUGAUAGAUGUAUUUGUCUCCUAUACCUAUUAUUUUUAUUUUUUAUGUUUUUGAGACUUACUCUGUUGCCCCUGGGAAGAGUGCUGUGGCAUCAUAGCUCACAGCAAACCCAUGUUCUUGGGCUGAAGUGAUCCACCUGCCUCAGCUUCCUGGGUAGCUGGGACUAUAAGUGCAUCUCUUUAAAAAUGUGUAUCCAGGCAGAAGUGGAUGGGUAUGAGGUGGAUUUGCAGGAAUAAGAUCUCACUGCUGGAAACAAGGGGAGUAACCAAAAGAAUGGAGAACUGCUUCUGACACAGCAAGGGAGCCAGGGUAUAGCGCAGUGUUUGUGUACCAUGAGCCUCUAGCUAUGUUAUUUUACUGUCAUUUUGCCUAUAUCUCACUUGAGCUUAGGAAAAAAGACUGGAAGGAAGUAACUAAGGCACAAGUUUCUGGCCUGUGGAGGUGGCUCAGAGUUGCCUUGUGUGUGAGGGAUGGUUUAUGGGCAGCAGUAACAGUAACGACAGUAACUUUCAUUGCCCUGCCUGCUCUCCCCAUGUUGGCUACGUCACUCCACAAUGUCCCAACUUGCUUGGUUUGUUUUCUUCUUAUAAU